rnacentral:rRNA from 1 species
UACAGAGGUGGCAAGCGUUGUUCGGAUUUACUGGGCGUAAAGGGUCCGUAGGCGGUUUGGAAAGUUGAAUGUGAAAUCCCGCAGCUUAACUGCGGAACUGCAUUCAAAACUUCCAGACUAGAGUAUGAGAGGGGUAAAGGGAAUUCCCGGUGUAAGGGUGAAAUCUGCAGAGAUCGGGAGGAACACCAGUCGCGAAGGCGCUUUACUGGCUCAUUACUGACGCUCAGGGACGAAAGCUAGGGUAGCAAACGGG